AUACUCAGCUGGCAGGGAGAGAGCAUGGUCACGAAGGUGGUCUUCCCAGGGUGAGGCUUAUCCCCUGCAUUCUGAAAGUGCUGACCCCUGAGAUUUCCCCACACAUGGGAAAAUAUAAAGCAUAACAUAUGGUAAUAAAGGACUGUGUCUGCACUCCCCUGCU